CAAUAGCGUAUAUUUAAGUUGCUGCAGUUAAAAAGCUCGUAGUUGAAUUUAUGAAGAAGUUGCUUGUCCAGGCUUUAUAGGCCUAGACAAUCAACUUUCUUUUAAUUUGGUACUAUACUUUACACAAAAAUAUGUUACAUAUUUUUGUGGUCCUAGUGUAGUCAGGUUACUGUGAGUAAAUUAAAAUGUUCAAAGUAGGCGGUCGCUGUGAAUAUAUUAGCAUGGAAUAACAUUAUAGUACUUCUUUCUAUUUUUGCUAAGCUGUUAGAUUGGAGUAACGAUUAAUAGGGACAGUUGGGGGCAUUCGUAUUUCAUUGUCAGAGGUGAAAUUCUUAGAUUGAUGAAAGACGAACUACUGCGAAGGCAUUUGUCAAGGAUGUUUUCAUUAA
rnacentral:rRNA from 1 species